rfam:Aedes albopictus isolate Foshan contig143454, whole genome shotgun sequence.
GGCUCGGUAGCUUAGUUGGUAAAGCACUUGUCUAGCGCAAAAGGAUCGUGAGUUCAAAUCUCACCUGAGCUG